UGUUGCCUAGACAUUUGCAGUCUAACGAUAGAUGUAGUUGGACGACGAGCAUGUUAAGAGAUUUUUGCAAGUAGAAAUCGGUUCCAAGAAUAGGAUAUUAGGAUGCAUAGUAACAAGCUGCCAAUUGACUAUACAAUGACACGCAGCAAGAAUGUAUUCUGCUUAUGAAAUCUUUAAGUGUGCAUACAUUAUGAUUGGAAUAGAAAGAGUGAGGUAUGAGUCAUUAAACAGUUGUUCGAGAGUUAUGAUAUAAUCACGGACUACUCAGAAUUAUUGAAAGGCGUCGUAGCAAUAAGGAAAUAACGUAUGUUUAUCUACUUAUGAGAGUGCACGAUUAUUGUUGCCUAAUCCAGUGACUCUAUAUAGCGUAUUUGCGAAGAAAGAAUUUUUUCUUGGUGAAACCGGUUCCAAUCGACAAGAAUUAAUCAGAAAUCGAUAAUAAUCCGAUGCUGAGAGGUCGAGGAUAAAAGGAACGCCGACUGAACGUUUUCUCGACCGCGUGGAUAGUCGGCCACAAAGGCCGGAUGCCAUCGGCGGUGCACGCAGGUGGGCACAGUUCUAAUGCCAGAGACGCUUUGCAUUGCACGUGGCAUUGCAAGGCCAACCGGCCACAAGAAAUCGUCGUCAGGAAUAUGGGGGCCUGGCGACCAGUUCGAGGCGUGGAAAACGCCGCCGCGAUGCGAACAGAUAUGUUUCGUUUCGAGAAAAAUCGGUUGCGUAAUCACGCGAUAUCAUCGCAAAAUCAUCGGCUACCUCCAUCAACCAACCAGUUUCCAUACGAGCAGUAUGUAGCCGUGUUCAGUCGAGACAGAUUACUGUAACGGAGCGAAACGGAGACGUUCAGUUCGCAACGAUGCCACAUAAAAUCGUCUGAUGUAAGUGGCAUGAUUUCACACCGGAGCACUUCACCAAAGAUUAUAUUUCUGAUAAUUGAAGAGUUCGUGAGAAUAACGAUUAAGUAGAGUGUCGUAAAAAGUAAAAUUUUUAGUAUUUGGGGUUUCGUGAACUUCUUCUCGUUGUACAAAAUUCAAGGUUUAAUAUGUUCCUUUCUUACAAUAUGAAUGCCGCUUCAUCAAUAUUUAAAUUUUAAGAGAAGGAUUACGACUGUUUUUUCUCGGAAUACUUUAAUUGUUUUUCUUUCGCACGAGAAACCCGAGUUGUAGCGCAACAUGUGAUAAAGGUUUUAUUGUAUGCGGGAAAUGUAGUUCAUAGAUUAAAUAGUGACCCAGAUGUAAUUGAACUUAAUCCGGAGAUACCAAGAUAUGAGGAAACACGAUAUUAAAUGGUAACUGAGAUUUAUUGGUGAAGAGAGAAUUAUUGAAAAUCAGAAGAAGAAAAAAGAAAAAAAAGGAACAUUUAAUACUGGAACUAAAACCUUUUGAAAUGAGUGUCAUAUUUUUUGUGUUUGUAAUUACUAGAAACAUGCAGGUACUUUUAACGAAGUAAAAUAUCGACUGUUAUUGAAAAAUAAGCUAAAGUAAAAGAAAGUGUGUCGUUCGAAUAAUUAUAAGCGAUUUUUUGAAACCUGUAAAAUUGCAGUUUCGAUUUGAGAUGGAUUGUCACUGUUUUCCUGUUGAAACCUUCGAAUAUCAUCAAAUAUCAUUGUUUCUAAAAUAUAGUGGGUGGUAUCCGCGUUCGUUAUUUCUUUUCCGUCUCAUCUGGUAGAAAGUCUGAUAAAAAACGUGUCGUCUGUUCCGUGCUCGAUUUCCUCCGUGUGUUUUCCUUCCUUGCUUUCCAGGACGCUCUCGGCAAACCAUUCGGCAAAGAUUUCUACGUCACCGGAAAAUCGCCCGCAGGUUUUGCCGGCUGAAUGAAAAACGAGGUCAGCUUCUCGAAGCAUUGCCUUUUCAAUCCUCAAAGAGUUCGUUGCCGAGUUUCUUAGCUUCUCGCCCCUGUAUGGAUGCUCGCGAGCGCGACUGCAUUUUCCCCGAGUUCUUCCAUUCCAGGCGAUACCACUUUUUUUUCACGUUCCCCGUCAUGACUUUCAUGGUCAUUAACAUCGAAGAAGGAGAGACUCGUUGCUAAAGUUUCUGGAGAAGACCCGUCUGUUUGUUUCAUUGUGUGUGCAAGCUCCUAGCCGAUUGUUUUUCACCUCUGAUUUUGAUCUAAAUCAUGACGAAGCGCAAAACCACGACUUGAGUUGGAAAGACAUAAUUGUCCUUAAUGCAACGACUAUGCGGCGUGAAAUGUAAUGAAAAAUACAAAUGUGAUUUUUUUAUGGUACAUCAUUUAGAGUCAUACGAUAGUUGGAUGAAAUAGCAUUAAAUUAUUGAAAUUUACCAGUCGCUUUUUCCAAUCCACUAUUAAUAAUGGCAAAAAAUAUAAACAUGUAGACAUUAUAAUAAUAGUACUACUCAUAUGCUUUUUCUUCAAGCUUCUUGUCGAAGUUUUGCUCGAGCUAGAAUUAAACAUAACUAACUGCAUAACGCUAAAUAACCAUGUACCAAAAUAAAAAGUAUAAUUAUAGAAGAAAGACAGAAAAAAUUAACAGCACCAAGAAUCAUUACUCCUAUCAUUAUUCUUAAAAGUGUUACAAUAUACCAUACCCUAUACCACACGAUCGUAAAGUUAAUUACCGCGUUCGAAACGCGUGACGUUUGCCUUGCGUGACGCAUGAUCCUCACGAAAACACAUCUUCGACGCAGCAUCGCGGACCACUAUGGAACCAGACUCGGAGCCGUGAACCAGAUUCUCCGAGUCAGUUAUUUACAGUUGGUCCCUAGUUCAUGGAUGAUUUCAGAUUUCCACGCAUCGACGCUCACGCCUCGCGAUAAUUCGUCGAAGAAACCCUCGUCAUGGCGAUUCCGUUUGGCGGAGAUUAUCACGCGGUGAUCUUCUCAGCGGGGAAAAUAAUUAGCCCGGAAAUUGCUUGGCAAAUUUCUCGGGGUUAGAAGAUAUAUAAUAGAAUAAUCGAUGUUCGUGAAACCACCGUGCCGGACGUUCGCCAUGAUUCUCGGCUUAUAAAUUGCAUUUCUACCCUACCAACGGGGUGAAGGAGGGGAAAAGGCCAUUCUACAGGGGGGGGGGAAAAAAUGUGUUGCCGCUUCCGUUCUCGUUUGCGGGCUCAUCGAUGAGCCGAGAGCAAUUGGACUUGGUUAUGGGCGAUUCGCGCAUUACGGAUGAUUUACGGUAUUCACGGACCGAUGCGUUGCUUGUGUGGGACGAAAUUAUCGAGAGAUAACUAGUUGGAUGUUACAGUGCGAUCCUAGGACCCGUCCAUUGUGACGGGACGCGGAGGCUAUGCUUUAUGAAAACGCGCUUAAUUGCCUGUUAAUCGCGAUACUGCACGAUGGAAAUGUCAGUGAUCGUGAGUAAUUAUAGAGCAGGGUUUAGUUUAUUUUUCGCUUAUUUUGUUGGAGUGCAUUGGGUCAAGAAGGUUAGCAGAAGAUGGAGAUUUAGCGUGACAGGGAAGAGGCGUUGUCGAGGCGGCAUGGAAGAAUGAAUAAACAUUGUAAACGUUAUAGGACUCGUUGCACAUAGUAGUUAGCACGGCUUUCGAUGGAAGUUUUCUCCUCGUUUGCAUUGAACUGGGGUUUAUAUUGAAAGA